UACGGAGGGGGCUAGCGUUGUUCGGAAUUACUGGGCGUAAAGCGCACGUAGGCGGCUUUGUAAGUCAGAGGUGAAAGCCCGGAGCUUAACUCCGGAAUUGCCUUUGAGACUGCAUCGCUUGAAUCCAGGAGAGGUGAGUGGAAUUCCGAGUGUAGAGGUGAAAUUCGUAGAUAUUCGGAAGAACACCAGUGGCGAAGGCGGCUCACUGGACUGGUAUUGACGCUGAGGUGCGAAAGCGUGGGGAGCAAACAGGG
rnacentral:rRNA from 1 species